GGAAGUGAAGCCCCUCUAGCAUCAUCAUAUAAGAUUUGAGCUAAUUCUCUAAUUGGUUGAUCAAUACAUCUGUAUUCCAAGCCAAUCUUCAAACUAUGUUUAGACAUUCAAUCAGCAGCCCUAUUUCUUUCUCUAUAUGUGUGGGUACAUCUUAACUGCCAAUCUCUUCUCAUUAACUCCUCAAUACUUCUGAUUAAAGGAUUAGGAUGAUCUUUUCUCCCUUCUUCUUUGUGAAGUACCUCCAAAGCUGAUUGGAAAUCUAUUUCUAAAAUCACUUUUCUAAACCUCAAAUCCCAGGCAAUUCGAAGUCCUUGGAGAGCUCUCCACAGUUCAGCUUGGAAUGCUGAGCAUCUUUCGAUAUUCAUUUGAAACCCUGCCACCCAUCGGCCCAAUUCAUCUAUGCACACUCCUCUACAACCAGCUUCUCCUUCACCUUCCACUGCUGCCCCAUCUGUAUUGACUUUAAUCUAGCCAGUCGGAGGUGGGAUCCAGGUGAUAUGUUCCUCGCUCUUGUUUCGGCCACCAACAGGUUGUGAUGAAGAUGGAUUGCCAACAUUCUUGUUUUUGGGCGUCCAGAUUAGAUGAAAGAUUCCACCUUAUCCAGAGAUCGAAGGGAGCUCUGAAAAAAUUUUGGAGAUGCGACGGAUGAAUUAGUUUAACCCAGACUCUUGAAGCUACUCCACAAUCGCGAAGUACAUGAGCAAGGGUCUCCUGUGUGCCAUUACAUCUAUGACAAUCAGGUACAGUGCCAAGAAACUUACUCCUUUUGCUAGCUGUUAAGAGCUUUUUAUGAACUGUUUGCCAAAGAAAUGUCUUCAACUUUUGGGGUUCUUGCCAUGUCCAUAUAAUACUCCACACUAUAUUAGUAUGUUUUAGUUUAUAUUAGAUGACAUUAUGAAAUUGUUAUGGACUCACACGGUCCAACCCGAUUAUCCGGCGGGUUGGGAACACCGCCUCCGACUCGAGCCCGAACCAUCAUAACAGAAAAACUCGACGGGUCGGUUCCCCGCGCCCCACCUGAAGUACGCGCAAUUUGUCACGGCAUGGCUCAAGUGAUCGCGCCCAGUAAACUGGUCGUGUCGGUAUCCUCGGAACAGCACCCGAAGCCCCGAUCCGAAGUCCAGAACGACCUGCUCCCCCCACGUGGACUAGGACAGCUCACGGAAGCUUCUUGGCCAGUGGACUAGGUCAUUUAUGGUCCCGCCCAGCACAGUAUAUAAGGGGAGAGGUCAGCUCUCCCCCCGAGGUUGCCACCCCCUCGUCCAUUCCACCUCCGACGUCACCAACUCCCAGUUCACACCUCUGCAUCUACUCCAGGUCAACCCAGGGUCUCACCUACUCACCCAUCCAUCACCACCCGACCCGUCGAGUACCCAAGAUCUUCAAGUAACGAACAUUGGCGCCAUCUGUGAGGACCCUGGAGCAGACAUGGAGCGACUCCCCACGUCAGUGGAGCUUCGCGAAGGAGGCGGGGCCCACCUGAGCAGGGCAAGUUUGACAGCUCGCGCCGGCGAACAGCCACGAUCCUCCGUUCAGCCAAACCAACCAAUCUACACUAAAACUCCCGAAAGAUGUCCCUUCGGAGGAAUGGGAGCUGACAGCACCAAGAUCAUGUAAGAGCUCAGACACAGAGUACAAAACCUUGAAAGGGAGCUGGCAGCAAGGAGCCGAUCCCACGGCGACAUUGAUGAGCGGAUAAUUUGUACACUUUUUGGCAUUGUUUUUAGUAUCUUUUAGUUAGUUUUUAGUAUAUUUUUAUUAGUUUUUAGUUAAAAUUCACUUUUCUGGACUUUACUAUGAGUUUGUGUGUUUUUCUGUGAUUUCAGGUAUUUUCUGACUGAAAUUGAAGGUUCUGAGCAAAAAUCUGAUUCAGAGACUGAAAAGGACUGCAUAUGCUGUUGGAUUCUGACCUCCCUUCACUCGAAGUGGAUUUUCUGGAGCUACAGAAGCCCAAUUGGCGCGCUCUCAACGGCGUUGGAAAGUAGACAUCCUGGACUUUCCAGCAAUAUAUGAUAGUCCAUACUUUUCCCAAGAUUUGAUGGCCCAAACCGGCGUGGCAAAUCAGCCUCAGAAAUUCCAGCGUUUAACGCUGGAACUGGCAUAAAACUUGGAGUUAAACGCCCAAACUGGCAUGAAAGCUGGCGUUUAACUCCAGAAAAGGUCUCCACACGAAAAUGCUUCAUUGCUCAGCCCAAGCACACACCAAGUGGGCCCGGAAGUGGAUUUUUCUGUCAUUUACUCAUUUCUGUAAACCUUAGGAUACUAGUUUACUAUUAAUAGGACCUUUUGACAUUGUAUCUGUACCUCAUGACACUUUACACGUUUCUUUGUGUACCUUUCACGGCAUGAGUCUCUAAACCCCAUGGUUGGGGGUGAGGAGCUCUGCUGUGUCUUGAUGGAUUAAUGCAAUUACUACUGUUUCUUAUUCAAUCAUGCUUGCUUUUAUUCUAAGAUAUCACUUGCUCUUAACCCGAAUGAAUGUGAUGAUCCGUGACACUCAUCAUCAUUCUCAACUAUGAACAUGUGCCUGACAACCACCCCUGUUCUACUUUAGAUUGAGUAGAUAUCUCUUGGAUUCCUUAACCAGAAUCUUCGUGGUAUAAGCUAGAACUGAUGGCGGCAUUCAAGAGAAUCCGGAAGGUCUAAACCUUGUCUGUGGUAUUCUGAGUAGGAUUCAAUGACUGAAUGACUGUGACAUGCUUCAAACUCCUAGCAGGCGGGGCGUUAGUGACAGACGCAAAAGAAUCACUGGAUUCUAUUCCGGCCUGACCGAGAACCGACAGAUGAUUAGCCAUGCUGUGACAGAGCAUAGGAACAUUUUCACUGAGAGGAUGGGAGGUAGCCACUGACAACGGUGAAACCCUACAUACAGCUUGCCAUGGAAGGAGCCUUGCGUGUUUGAUGAAGAAGACAGUAGGAAAGCAGAGAUUCAGAAGAUGGAGCAUCUCCAAAGCCUCAACCUAUUCUCCAUUACUACAAAACAAGUACCUAUUUCAUGUUCUUUUGCUUUUCACAAUCAAUCCUGAUAAUUUCUGAUAUCCUGACUAAGAUUUACAAGAUAACCAUAGCUUGCUUCAAGCCGACAAUCUCCGUGGGAUCGACCCUUGCUCACGCAAGGUAUUACUUGGACGACCCAGUGUACUUGCUGGUUAGUUGUGCGGGAUUGCAAAAGUGUUAUUGCAAUUUCGUGCACCAAGUUUUUGGCGCCGUUGCCGGGGAUUGUUCGAGUUUGGACAACUGACGGCUUAUCUUGUUGCUUAGAUUAGGACUGUUUUAUUUUUGUUGGUUUAGAGUCUUUUAGUUGAGUCUAGUUUCAUAUUUCAAAUUUG